rnacentral:misc_RNA from 1 species
GAUGAAGAACGUAGCGAAACGCGAUAAGUAAUGUGAAUUGCAGAAUCCAGUGAAUCAUCGAAUCUUUGAACGCACAUUGCGCCCGCCAGCAUUCUGGCGGGCAUGCCUGUUCGAGCGUCAUUUCAACCCUCGACCUCCCCAUGGGGAGGUCGGCGUUGGGGACCGGCAGCACACCGCCGGCCCUGAAAUGGAGUGGCGGCCCGUCCGCGGCGACCUCUGCGCAGUAAUACAGCUCGCACCGGGACCCCGACGCGGCCACGCCGUAAAACACCCAACUUCUGAACGUUGACCUCGAAUCAGGUAGGACUACCCGCUGAACUUAAGCAUAUCAAUAAGCGGAGGA